CUAGGGAUCAAUAAUAUGCAAAAAACACAGUCAUGCAUUUCAGGUCUGGUUCAAACCUAUCUGAUCCGUUGCUCAAUGACACUUUUAUUUUCGAUGAUUAGCUUGAUUAUUGAAAAACACAAGAAAACCUACCGAUUUCUCUCCACUUUCAGGAUGAACUUCCUUCCUUCUGAUGACACCAGAAUCUCUCCCCCGUCUGGAGUCCCCUGCAUGAAACAAAAAUAAAGAGUGGUUGUGGUGUUCCCAAGCCCAAACGGAAGGAUGUAUUACAUUAGCCCUAGAGGUGCCUUCCAAGAAAGCUCCGAAGGCUUAAAUGAUUGGUUUCCUGUUUCCUGCACCCCCACCUCUCCAACCACAAAC